GGGGAGAUACCAAAGCGGUCGCACUGGGACGGUCUUGAAAACCGCUGAACUCUCUGGGUUCCGUGGGUUCGAAUCCCACUCUCCCCG
rnacentral:tRNA from 1 species